rnacentral:rRNA from 1 species
UAUACUAACUAUUCGCCAGAAUACUACAAGCAAAACGCUUGAAACUCAAAGGACUUGGUGGUGUCCCAUAUCACCCUAGAGGAGCCUGUCCUAUAAUCGAUAAUCCACGUUAAACCUUACCAUCUUUGGUCACUCCAGCCUAUAUACCGCCGUCGCAAGCUUACCCUAUGAAGGCUCUAUAGUAAGCAAAACUGCUUAACACAAAAACGUCAGGUCAAGGUGUAGCUUAUAAGACGGAAGAGAUGGGCUACAUUUUCUAAUUUAGAAAAAACGAACAAUACAAUGAAAUCUGUAUUAGAAGGAGGAUUUAGUAGUAAAAUAAAAAGAAAAAUAAUUUUAAACUAGCCCUGGGACGCGCACACACCGCCCGUCACCCUCAUCAAUAAUAUAAACAACUAACAUAUACCCUAUAUCCAUAAUAGAUGAGGCAAGUCGUAACAUGGUAAGCGUACUGGAAAGUGCGCUUGGAUUAACAAAAAGUAGCUUAAAUCAAAGCAUUCAGCUUACAAUUGAAAAAUGUUAUUUACCAAACCUUUUUGAGCCCCAACCAAUAAGCCCAUUCAAACCACCAACUAAACAAACAAAAUAAAACAAACCAUUUGACAAGAAUAGUAUCUGAGAGAGAAC